rnacentral:rRNA from 1 species
AUUGAACACUGGCGGCAUGCCUUACACAUGCAAGUCGAACGGUAACAGGCCGCAAGGUGCUGACGAGUGGCGAACGGGUGAGUAAUGCAUCGGAACGUGCCCAGUCGUGGGGGAUAACUGCUCGAAAGAGCAGCUAAUACAGCAUUCGCCCUGAGGGUGAAAGCGGGGGACCGUAAGGCCUCGAGCGACUGGAGCGGCCGAUGUCAGAUUAGCUAGGUGGUGGGGGAAAGGCCUACCAAGGCAACGAUCUGUAGUUGGUCGGAGAGGACGACCAGCCACACUGGGACUGAGACACGGACCAGACUCCUACGGGAGGCAGGAGUGGGGAAUUUUGGACAAUGGGCGCAAGCCUGAUCCAGCAAUGCCGCGUGUAGGAAGAAGGCCUUCGGGUUGUAAACUGCUUUUGUCAGGGAAGAAAUCCUCUGGGUUAAUACCUCGGGGGGAUGACGGUACCUGAAGAAUAAGCACCGGCUAACUACGUGCCAGCAGCCGCGUAAUAC